rnacentral:rRNA from 1 species
AACGAACGCUGGCGGCAUGCCUAACACAUGCAAGUCGAACGAUGCCUCCGGGCAUAGUGGCGCACGGGUGCGUAACGCGUGGGAAUCUGCCCUUGGGUUCGGAAUAACUCGCCGAAAGGCGAGCUAAUACCGGAUGAUGACGUAAGUCCAAAGAUUUAUCGCCCAAGGAUGAGCCCGCGUAGGAUUAGCUAGUUGGUGGGGUAAAGGCCCACCAAGGCGACGAUCCUUAGCUGGUCUGAGAGGAUGAUCAGCCACACUGGGACUGAGACACGGCCCAGACUCCUACGGGAGGCAGCAGUGGGGAAUAUUGGACAAUGGGCGAAAGCCUGAUCCAGCAAUGCCGCGUGAGUGAUGAAGGCCUUAGGGUUGUAAAGCUCUUCUACCCGGGAUGAUAAUGACAGUACCGGGAGAAUAAGCUCCGGCUAACUCCGUG